rnacentral:lncRNA from 10 species
GUCCGGGCCUGCGCGCGGCCUUCUCACCUUCCCACCUUCCCACCUUCUCGGGCCCUUUCGGGCGGGCCUCCCCUGUCUCCGACCCUUGGCCCCCUCAGGAAAUCGGGCCUAUGGCGGGGCUGGGUCGGCGGCAGGGCGGAGGUGAGCCGCAUCUGAGUAACCGAGUGAUCGGGGAGGCUGGGGCGCGGUCCUCCGGGGCCCGAUUGCUGCAUGGCGUGAAGAUAGGUGGGUGGACGGCUGUGGGGAAGACAGAACCCAGGAGGGAGUGGAGGCGGCCGCCGUAUUUCAGCCCUGGGGUCUGAGAUUGUGUCUCUCUUCCCCCAGUCAGUCUAACCCUCCCGCUUAAUGCUGAGAAAGGGGGACCCUGUGGUUCCCCUGGACACCUUGGUGGUCUCAGCCACGCUCAACAAGUGAGUCUUGGCUCCCCCCAGUACCCUUCUGGUGCAGGAAGCAGCGGAGAAAACUAGUAGUUCAGAGCUAAGAAAAACCAGACACCUUGAAGCGAAGUGUGAAAGUGGAGCCCCACGCCUGGAAAUGACUGUUCUUGUGGCCACAGAAAACAGCAUUUAGAAAAGAUUAAAAAUAGAGGUGAUUGUCACAGCCUUGCUUGGUCCUUUAGCAGUAUGAGCGCAGGAAACUGACUUAUUCUCACCGGAAGGAUUUUUCUUUAUUCAAAUGGUGUUCCAGGAAGCCUGUCCCCUCCCCCCGCACGGGUGGGGGCAGGGUUGGAGGCCCAUGCUGUACAUAAAUCAGGUUCUCGGUGUUGAACCAGUUGACUCAGCUUGGAAAGUGGGGCCUGCUGCUUUAGGGGGAGCCCGGCAGUGCUCCUGAGUGUGCCUUUAAACCGAAAACCUUCAGACUUGAUUUGAACAGGAAUGUGUUUUCCGAAGUGGAGAUUCAAGCUUGUAAUUCCUGCCCCAUCAGGAUCUCCCAAUCCACCCUCCUUAUGAAAUGGGGUCAAGGGAAGGGUCCCCAGGAGGGAAGGUUGGUUGUAGUCUGGUGUAGGGCCUAGUUCAUGGACAGUCAGUGCUGAAAGGGGCUCCAGGGUCAGGCCUUUGGCCCAGGACUCUCAUUGAACAGAUGAGAUCAAGCCUGUCAGCUGCUGCCUUGGUCUGGGUGCAGAACCUUGUUGAAGGUCAUGUCUUGGGACUCCCCUGCCUGGUGACAGGUUCCUUGAGGCUGCUUAGAGGCCUGGGCUUAGCACAUCCAGGGGAUGGUCGUUUCUCCAUUCAUGGCAGCGUCAGAAGCGUCAGAAACCUUGUUACCAUGGAGAGUGCUCCACUUGGGGUUGGGGAAAGGGAGGUUAACGGAUAAAGGUAACUGAAACCCUGGCAAAUACGGGGCCCAGGUGGAGGAGAAUGGAACUGAUAUUUAUUGAGUCUCUAUCAUGUACCAAGAAUCGGACUUAUAUUAGACCAUUG